GAUGAACGCUAGCGGCAGGCCUAAUACAUGCAAGUCGAGGGGUAGAGUUAGCUUGCUAACUUGAGACCGGCGCACGGGUGCGUAACGCGUAUGCAACCUACCUUUAUCUGGGGGAUAGCCCGAAGAAAUUCGGAUUAACACCGCAUAAAAUCACAGUAUCGCAUGAUGCAAUGAUCAAAUAUUUAUAGGAUAAAGAUGGGCAUGCGUGUCAUUAGUUAGUUGGCGGGGUAACGGCCCACCAAGACCACGAUGACUAGGGGGUCUGAGAGGAUGAUCAGCCACACUGGGACUGAGAUACGGCCCAGACUCCUACGGGAGGCAACAGUGGGGAAUAUUGGACAAUGGGCGAAAGCCUGAUCCAGCAAUGCCGCGUGAGUGAUGAAGCCUUAGGGUUGUAAAGCUCUUUACCCGGGAUGAUAAUGACAGUACCGGGAGAAUAAGGCCCCGGCUAACUCCGUGCCAGCAGCCGCGGUAAU
rnacentral:rRNA from 1 species